GUGUCAGCAGCCGCGGUAAUACCCGCAGCCCGAGUGGUGGUCCUUAUUAUUGAGCCUAAAGCGUCCGCAGCCGGUCCGGUACAUUCCUGGGUAAAUCGGGUCGCCUAACGAUCCGAACGCCGGGAAGACGGCCGGACUUGGGACCGGGAGAGGCCGGAGGUACGUCAGGGGUAGGGGUAAAAUCCUGUAAUCCUUGGCGGACCACCAGUGGCGAAGGCGUCCGGCCAGAACGGCUCCGACGGUCAGGGACGAAGGCCUGGGGCGCAAACGGGAUUAGAUACCCCGGUAGUCCAGGCUGUAAACGCUGCGGGCUUGGUGUCGGGGGUCCUACGAGGGCUCCCGGUGCCGGAGCGAAGGUGUUAAGCCCGCCGCUUGGGGAGUACGGCCGCAAGGCUGAA
rnacentral:rRNA from 1 species